GCAUUCAUGGGGUAGUGGUAACCUGGGUCGUUGCCAUUCUAAGGCUCGUUUACGUUGUGGACUCGCCGGGGGGUUCGAUUCCCAUUAAUGCA